rnacentral:rRNA from 1 species
ACGCUGGCGGCAUGCUUUACACAUGCAAGUCGGACGGCAGCACAGAGAAGCUUGCUUCUUGGGUGGCGAGUGGCGAACGGGUGAGUAAUAUAUCGGAACGUACCGAGUAAUGGGGGAUAACUAAUCGAAAGAUUAGCUAAUACCGCAUAUUCUCUGAGGAGGAAAGCAGGGGACCUUCGGGCCUUGCGUUAUUCGAGCGGCCGAUAUCUGAUUAGCUAGUUGGUGGGGUAAAGGCCUACCAAGGCGACGAUCAGUAGCGGGUCUGAGAGGAUGAUCCGCCACACUGGGACUGAGACACGGCCCAGACUCCUACGGGAGGCAGCAGUGGGGAAUUUUGGACAAUGGGCGCAAGCCUGAUCCAGCCAUGCCGCGUGUCUGAAGAAGGCCUUCGGGUUGUAAAGGACUUUUGUCAGGGAAGAAAAGGCUGUUGCUAAUACCGACAGCUGAUGACGGUACCUGAAGAAUAAGCACCGGCUAACUACGUGCCAGCAGCCGCGGUAAUACGUAGGGUGCGAGCGUUAAUCGGAAUUACUGGGCGUAAAGCGAGCGCAGACGGUUACUUAAGCAGGAUGUGAAAUCCCCGGGCUCAACCUGGGAACUGCGUUCUGAACUGGGUGACUAGAGUGUGUCAGAGGGAGGUAGAAUUCCACGUGUAGCAGUGAAAUGCGUAGAGAUGUGGAGGAAUACCGAUGGCGAAGGCAGCCUCCUGGGAUAACACUGACGUUCAUGCUCGAAAGCGUGGGUAGCAAACAGGAUUAGAUACCCUGGUAGUCCACGCCCUAAACGAUGUCAAUUAGCUGUUGGGCAACUUGAUUGCUUAGUAGCGUAGCUAACGCGUGAAAUCGACCGCCUGGGGAGUACGGUCGCAAGAUUAAAACUCAAAGGAAUUGACGGGGACCCGCACAAGCGGUGGAUGAUGU